rnacentral:rRNA from 1 species
UUGAAGGGUUUGAUCCUGGCUCAGAAUGAACGUUGGCGGCGUGGAUUAGGCAUGCAAGUCGAGCGAGAAGCUAUUAAUUGAAGCUUCGGCUGAUUUUAUUAGUGGACAGCGGCGCAUGGGAGAGUAACGCGUGGAGACCUACCCCAGGGUUCGGAAUAGCGUCGGGAAACUGACGGUAAUACCGGAUAUUAUCCCCGGAUGAAAGAUUUAUCGCCCCGGGAGGGCUCCGCGUCCUAUUAGCUUGUUGGUGGGGUAAUGGCCUACCAAGGCAAUGAUGGGUAGCGGGUGUGAGAGCAUGACCCGUCUCACUGGGACUGAAACACUGCCCAGACACCUACGGGUGGCUGCAGUCGAGAAUCUUCGG